rnacentral:snoRNA from 1 species
CCUCCAUUUCUUGGAGGAGACCAGGCGUGCUGUCCCAUUCCCCGUUAUAUAAGAAGGCAGAAGGAAAUGGCUCUGUUACUCUCAGUAUCAAAUCUGGUGCUAGUUCAGGUUCUAUGCUCAAAUACCAGAAUAUGG